AAAUGUCCAUGUUGACCACGUACACUUCUUGUCUUUCUCUGGCAUCAUCUUGAGAGCUGGCCGUAUGAUAUGAGGGCAGGAAUUAAUGUUUGUGUGCAUCUAAGUACUUUUGUUAGAUCUCUAAGCCUAAAAUUGGCAAUACAUCUGCACUGGAGCCCAAACUACCAAUCCACACCGUGUUUCACCAGCCAACUACCAAUCCACGCCGUGUUCCACCAGCGAGCUACCAAUCCACGCCGUGUUCCACCAGCGAGCUACCAAUCCACGCCGUGUUCCACCAUGAGCUACCAAUCCACGCCGUGUUCCACCAGUGAGCUACCAAUCCACGCCGUGUUCCACCAUGAACUAAUCUAUGCUUUGCAGCAAUUCCUCACUGACGAUACUGGCAUAGACAUUAUCUGCCCUGUGCUACCACCAGCAAACCAUUAUCAUAGGUCUGAAAGUCAUCACAUUUAGGCUGGACAUGGUGGCUCAUGCCUAUAAUCCCAGCCCUUGGGGAGGCCAAGGCAGGAGAAUAACUUGAGGCCAAGAGUUGAAGACCAGCCUGGACAACAUAGUGAGACCCUAUCUCUACAAAAUUCAAAUAAAAUAAAUUAGCCAGGUGUGGUGGCACAAGCCUGUAGUCCCAGCUACUCAGGAAGCUGUGGGAGGAUCACUUGAGCCCAGGAGGUUGAGGCUGCAGUGAGCUGAGAUGACAGCACUGCACUACAGCCUGGGUGACAGAGCGAGGUCCUGCCUCAAAAAAAAAAAAAAAAA
rnacentral:lncRNA from 1 species